AGCUAGUUGGUAGGGUAAAGGCCUACCAAGGCAGUGAUCUAUAGCUGGUCUGAGAGGAUGAUCAGCCACACUGGAACUGAGAUACGGUCCAGCACAUCA
rnacentral:rRNA from 1 species